GGGGUCCGCCCAUGUCCGCCGCUGGAGGGAGGCCGUGCGGCCCCGAGCGCGUCCCCGCCACAGCCCGCGGGGAGAUCCCGGCCAUGGCCAUGCCAAGCUGGGCUGCUGCAGCCCCACCACCCGCCCCUCAGGGGACAGUGGGGAAACGGAGGCCAGGAGCGCCAGGGACUGGCUGGGCCCUUGAGCUGGGCAGAGGCCCCAGGACAAGAAAUAGAGCCUCCUCCCGUUUGCAUCGCGGCGUCUGUGUUUCCGUUCACUGGCUUAUUCAUCCACUCAUUCACUCAUGGCCUCACUCACUCACUCAUUCAUCCAGUCAUUCAUUCAUUCAGGCCUUCACUUGUUCCUCAUCCGUUCAUUCGUUCAGGCCACAGGCCUCUGGUGGAAGAGAGGGAGCUGGGGAACUCAGAGAUGCCCACUGUGGCCUCCCCACCGGGCAG
rnacentral:lncRNA from 1 species